rnacentral:misc_RNA from 1 species
UAAGAAAAAAAAAAACAAUUUUUGAAAACGCAGCAGCACUUUCCCUUCCUCCGCCCCCCUUCCACAUUCUCUUUCUUCCCCACUUUCUUCCUUUCUUUCAUUUUUCUGCACAGCAAAGGAGACCAUUGCUGACGAUGAAGACCGAUGAGUCUCCAGCACACUCCUGCGAGUCUCAAUGGAAGCAGGCAAGGCAACAUAAGGCAGCAACGAUGGCUGGUUUCGAAGAGAGAGAAAGGAGAGAGAAAACACAAACCAAAAAUUUAGAGUGAGAUUCCAGCCGUUUUUGGCUAUCGUUCAACUCGAUUCUAGUGGCAUUGGCUUCCCCUUGCUGCUAGCUUUCUUUUCCAACCAACGGAGCUCGAUUUGGUGGUCGAAGAAGGAGACAGAAUCGAUAAGAAAGAAAAUGGGUCUUUUUCAAGCUUUCUAGUCAGAUUUCUGGCAAUCUGACCAUUGGAUCAGCGAUCUAAGACCACCGAUGAACUCAGCGCAUCCAAACUUUCGAGAUGGGAUCAACCCCGAUCCAAUUCAGAUACUGUUUGAAAAAGGCGAUAAUUAGAUGUUGAGAUCACUUAUGAGAUUUUUGACGUUUUUUGAUGCCUAUAAAUUAAAUAUAAUUAUAUGAUAA